rnacentral:rRNA from 1 species
GUGCCCCUACGGGGGGCAGCAGACGGGAAAAUUGAAAAAUGGAGGAAACUCUGAUGCAGUGAAACCGCGUAUAGGAAGAAGGUUUUCGGAUUGUAAACUAUUUUAGACAGGGAAGAAAAAAGACAGUACCUGUAGAAUAAGCUCCGGCUAACUACGUGCCAGCAGCCGCGGGAAUACGUAGGGAGCAAGCGUUAUCAGGAAUUAUUGGGCGUAAAGGGUGCGUAGACGGGACAGCAAGUUAGUUGUGAAAGCCCUCGGCUUAACUGAGGAAGUGCAACUAAAACUAUUGUUCUUGAGUGCAGGAG